rnacentral:rRNA from 1 species
UUCUGGUUGAUCCCGCCGGAGGUCACUGCUAUUGGGAUUCGACUAAGCCAUGCGAGUCGAGAGGGUUCGGCCCUCGGCAGACGGCUCAGUAACACGUGGAUAAUCUGCCCUUAGGUGGAGGAUAACCUCGGGAAACUGAGAAUAAUACUCCAUAGAUCUAGGAUGCUGGAAUGCACUUAGAUUAAAAGUUCCGACGCCUAAGGAUGAGUCUGCGGACUAUCAGGUUGUAGUCAGGGUAAAGACCUGACUAGCCUACAAGCGGAUACGGGUUGUGAGAGCAAUAACCCGGAGACGAUAUCUGAGACACGAUAUCGGGCCCUACGGGGCGCAGCAGGCGCGAAACCUUCACAAUGUACGAAAGCACGAUGAGGGAAUCCCAAGUGCUUGCUCGUAAGAGUAA